GCGAGGGUGGCGGAACUGGCAGACGCGCUGGAUUUAGGUUCCAGUGUCCUAUGGACGUGCAGGUUCGAGUCCUGUUCCUCGCA
rnacentral:tRNA from 1 species